AGCAGCCGCGGUAAUUCCAGCUCCAAUAGCGUAUAUUAAAGUUGUUGCAGUUAAAAAGCUCGUAGUUGAAUUUCGGGAUCAAUAUGUUGGUCGUGCCUCGGUACGUACUAGCAUAUUGGUUUCUCCUUUCUGAAGAACCAUGAUGUCAUUUAUUUGGUGUCGUGGGGAAUCAGGACUGUUACUUUGAAAAAUUAGAGUGUUUAAAGCAGGCUCACGCUUGAAUACAUUAGCAUGGAAUAAUGAAAUAGGACGUUUGAUUCUAUUUUGUUGGUUUCUAGGAUCGACGUAAUGAUUAAUAGGGAUAGUUGGGGGCAUUAGUAUUCAAUUGUCAGAGGUGAAAUUCUUGGAUUUAUUGAAGACUAACUACUGCGAAAGCAUUUGCCAAGGAUGUUUUCAUUAAUCAAGAACGAAAGUUAGGGGAUCGAAGACGAUCAGAUACCGUCGUAGUCUU
rnacentral:rRNA from 1 species